GACGAACGCUGGCGGCGUGCCUAAUACAUGCAAGUCGAACGCUGAAGGAGGAGCUUGCUCUUCUGGAUGAGUUGCGAACGGGUGAGUAACGCGUAGGUAACCUGCCUGGUAGCGGGGGAUAACUAUUGGAAACGAUAGCUAAUACCGCAUAACAGUAGAUGUUGCAUGACAUUUACUUAAAAGGUGCAAUUGCAUCACUACCAGAUGGACCUGCGUUGUAUUAGCUAGUUGGUGGGGUAACGGCUCACCAAGGCGACGAUACAUAGCCGACCUGAGAGGGGGAUCGGCCACACUGGGACUGAGACACGGCCCAGACUCCUACGGGAGGCAGCAGGAGGGAAUCUUCGGCAAUGGACGGAAGUCUGACCGAGCAACGCCGCGUGAGUGAAGAAGGUUUUCGGAUCGUAAAGCUCUGUUGUAAGAGAAGAACGAGUGUGAGAGUGGAAAGUUCACACUGUGACGGUAUCUUACCAGAAAGGGACGGCUAACUACGUG
rnacentral:rRNA from 1 species